rnacentral:rRNA from 1 species
UACGUAGGGUCCGAGCGUUGUCCGGAAUUACUGGGCGUAAAGAGCUCGUAGGUGGUUUGUCGCGUUGUUCGUGAAAACUCACAGCUUAACUGUGGGCGUGCGGGCGAUACGGGCAGACUAGAGUACUGCAGGGGAGACUGGAAUUCCUGGUGUAGCGGUGGAAUGCGCAGAUAUCAGGAGGAACACCGGUGGCGAAGGCGGGUCUCCGGGCAGUAACUGACGCUGAGGAGCGAAAGCGUGGGGAGCGAACAGG